GAUGAACGCUGGCGGCGUGCCUAAUACAUGCAAGUCGAGCGAACGGACGAGAAGCUUGCUUCUCUGAUGUUAGCGGCGGACGGGUGAGUAACACGUGUAUAACCUACCUAUAAGACUGGGAUAACUUCGGGAAACCGGAGCUAAUACCGGAUAAUAUUUUGAACCGCAUGGUUCAAAAGUGAAAGACGGUCUUGCUGUCACUUCUAGAUGCAUCCGCGCUGCAUUAGCUGGUUGGUAAGGUAACGGCUUACCAAGGCAACGAUGCAUAGCCGACGUGAGAGGGUGAUCGGCCACACUGGAGCUGGGCCACGGUCCAGACUCCUACGAGAGGCAGCAGUAGGGAAUCUUCCGCAAUGGGCGAAAGCCUGACGGAGCAACGCCGCGUGAGUUAUGAAGGUCUUCGGAUCGUGAUACUCUGUUAUUAGGGAAGAACAUAUGUGUAAGUAGCUGUGCACAGCUUGACGGUACCUAAUCAGAAAGCCACGGCUAACUACGUG
rnacentral:rRNA from 1 species